ACAGCAUCUUUUUGCUCCGGCAGCGGUGACCCAAGCCUCCCACUGCCACUUACCUGCCCAGCCAGCUGCUCUCCUUAAAGCAGAAUGGGAUGGGUCCGAUGCCUUCUUUUCUUGGCAAGUCUACCCCGGCACUUUUUAAACUUGAUUUAUUUUUUUUCCAGAUGCUUGCAAAUCAAUUGUUCUAUCAUUUUUAGUGUUUUUCUGGGAAGUGAAAUGAGGCUGUACAUUAUUCCUCUGGUCUCCUUCCUUUUAUUAUGUCAAGUCUCCACCAACAUCUUUGGAGCGAGGGGAUGUGCUGAGCUGUCCAGUUCCUGGGCUUCCUCCUACCACCGCAGCAUGGGCAAAAGCAGCUGGCAAAAUCAGAUUAAUAGGCCGUCUGAAAACUCAGGCAGCUAUUAUCGUCACAUUUAUCUAUAUAAUAUGAAUGGAACAAGCUCUGCAAACACAGAUAGAGACAUAAACUUAUCUGAAAGAAAGAUUGUACUUUGGAGCAUUCAGUACAACUGUGGGAAAAUAAAUGUGGGCACCUGAUUGUCCUGCUUCUGCCUGACUUCCAGCUGCUCUGAUGUCUGCUGCCGAUCACUCAAAGCUGUUGCUGACAGGCAACUGAAUAAAUACGAAACAUCCUUCAAUAAGAAAAUUCACCAGCAUGGAGAAGACAACACAAGUGCUUAGCUAAAAGGAGAACACCAAACACCAACCCUCCUCUCCUCCCUACUUCAAGAAUAUUCCCUCUCCUUAAUACUGUGAGAAAAUGGCAGCUGCUGCAUUUUAAGAGAUUUGGCAAUGUACUGAUGUUAGAUGCAGAAAGGAAGUUUGAUUUACAAACUUGUCACAGAUUCUCUCUGCAAGGGAUCUGUCAGAGUAGAAACAUGUUUUGAAAAUGAAUUAGCAGGAUGAGGGACUUGUUUUGAACAAGGAAUUCCUCAUAGGAAUGGUCAGGGGAAACAGGUCUCUUGGCUGACCUCUAUGGCCGUUAGCUGGCAUCCUUUGACUCCAAUCCGUGGAAAGCCAGAACAGACACACACUCACACCUACGCUUCAAGGUUAUCCAAAGAAAAGGGCAAGCGGAAUGAUUUUUUCAUUGUCUUUUACAACAAGCAGUUGAGAUUUGGUGUUAAGUAAAUACAAAACAAGACUUGAACACCGCCAGGCACAUGUUUACUUAUAUACUUGUUUAUAAAUAAUGCUAUUACAGGAGCAUCAUGACUAUGCCUUGAUCAAGGGUUGAGUUACUGAGCAUAAUGAGCUAUGGUUGAUGGGAUAAUGCAAAUGACUGAGUGUGAUGAGCCUUGGGACAGGCCAUGGACCAACAAGCAACUAGAGAACAACAUCUGAAACUGCUGGGAAAGUGGUAUCGUUGUAGACAGAUUUGGCUGGUAGCCUGUGUCGACAUCUGGCUAUAAGUCCCCAGCACUAGAGAGUAAUAGAGACUAGACGGAGGCAUUGCUCUGAAGAUGUGCAACACCUCGUGGAAGCAGAUUGCUCAAGAUGGAACCAUCACACAUGGUGCUGAGCUGCUGCCCAGAGCCCAACACAGAGACAGGUUGGGCAGAGCGAGCGUCAUGUUCCCCUGGGCUUGACUGUGCCAACUCACUGUGCACGGUGAAGGCUUCAGUUAAUUCUGUGUGUGUACGCGCCCGUGUGCGUAGCUUUUCCUGAUACAGCCUGUCCCUUUGCUUGGUGAACUAAGUUGAGCUUGGCAAUAUCGCAUUGUCUGGUGUUUCUUUUCCACCUAUGACAGAUGGGAACUAGAAAAAUAGAGAAAAAGAGAAAGAGGGAUGAAAGGAUGACUUUAGCAAUAGGACAAUAAGAAGAAAAUAAAAAGAAAAUGAGAAAAUGUAUGGGAAAUGUGUGAGACUUCAGUGACUGGCUGAGAAGGGAAUUGUCGGCGGAUCAGAGACAGAACCGAGGGCGGUAGGGCUUCGUCCACCCACCACAACCUUCAGGAAUGGCAACCUGCCAUCUGAUCCUUGUCAGCAGUGCCUGGGGAUAUGACAGGAAAGUGAAAUGGGUCCUCCCUUCCUGGCCCUUCAGGAAACACGGCCAACUACUGUGGUGGUGCAUUUCCACCCUGCUCCUGGGCCGCUCUAUGAUCUCAGGAAUUCCCGUUAGGCCUUAGCAUUUGUGUAAUGAGUUGGGCGGUUAAGCGUCCCUUGACCGUACCAGGAGCUCUUGCAUGGCUAAGGUGGGGAGCAGCACUGACCGUACCAAGGACUCCUGUUGCCUGGCGGAGGUGGGGAAUGGGAGCAGGAAUAUUAGUCAUUCCCUGACAGCCUUGGAACCUUCCUUAUCUGAAUUGUAGCUCAUGUGAAAACGGCACCGGUGCUACUGGAAUUCCAGUAAUUUGCUGAUGACUAAAAUGAAUCAUCUCACAAACCUAUAAACAGCGGUACUAAGUGAGACCCUUUGAGCCAUCCUGGACUGCAGUGGGCUGCGACCAGCAUCUCCCUCUGAGGGGGACACCUCUCAGAGCUCACAAACUCUCCAGUUUGUGAAAAUUGGAGGACUGUUGCCGAAAGCUGACGAUGGGACCUGGGCUGAUAUUCUUCGUUCCUUGAGGCUCAACCCUUUGCCUGUUGAGAAAAAUGCUGAGACAUUUGACAUGAAUAUUUUCACUGAACUCAAGGGGAAAUUUUAACAGACUUGCUGAUAUACGUGAAAGAUCACAUUUACGUGUUCCACGGACCACAGGACAUCUCGUCUUCUUAACCACUAAAGCAGCUCCGUGCUGACCCACAGGGACAGCAGAACUGUACAA